GAGCGGUUGAACCUUUCGAAGGAGGAGAAGUGUGAGAAGGACAUGAUGCCGGCGAUGAUGCCUGCGAAGCACGACAUUCCCGACAGGAUCAUGAAGGCCCUGGUGGCAUUCCAGUAAGCUGGAAGGAACAGCAAGGCCUUCUUGUCUGGAUCGCAACAGCAAGCACUGCCUCAAUGGGGCGUCACAUAAAGGGCGAAUGCUCCACAGCGUGAGGACAACACAGCAGGGUUUGAAAUCUGAUAAAACAUUUAAAAAAAAUUCAAAUGCACAGCAGCUUCUGCACGUUACUGUAAGAAAUACUUUCAGUUGCCAAUAAAAC